ensembl:lncRNA
GGAGGUGGUACUGUGUUACUAUGGGGAGGUGGUACUGGGUUACCAUGUGGAGGGGUGGUGGUACUGUUUUACUAUGUGGAGGGGUGGUGGUACUGUGUUACUAUGUGGAGGGGUGGUGGUACUGUGUUACUAUGGGGAGGGGUGGUGGUACUGUGUUACUAUGUGGAGGGGUAGUGGUACUGUGUUACUAUGUGGAGGGGUAGUGGUAUUGUGUUACUAAGUGGAGGGGUGGUGGUACUGUGUUACUAUGGGGAGGGGUGGUGGUACUGUGUUACUAAGUGGAUGGGUGGUGGUACUGUGUUGCUAUGGGGAGGGGUGGUGGUACUGUGU